rnacentral:rRNA from 1 species
AUUGAACGCUGGCGGCAGGCCUAACACAUGCAAGUCGAGCGGAUGAAGGGAGCUUGCUCCUGGAUUCAGCGGCGGACGGGUGAGUAAUGCCUAGGAAUCUGCCUGGUAGUGGGGGAUAACGUCCGGAAGCGGGCGCUAAUACCGCAUACGUCCUGAGGGAGAAAGUGGGGGAUCUUCGGACCUCACGCUAUCAGAUGAGCCUAGGUCGGAUUAGCUAGUUGGUGGGGUAAAGGCCUACCAAGGUGACGAUCCGUAACUGGUCUGAGGGGAUGAUCAGUCACACUGGAACUGAGACACGGUCCAGACUCCUACGGGAGGCAGCAGUGGGGAAUAUUGGACAAUGGGCGAAAGCCUGAUCCAGCCAUGCCGCGUGUGUGAAGAAGGUCUUCGGAUUGUAAAGCACUUUAAGUUGGGAGGAAGGGCAGUAAGUUAAUACCUUGCUGUUUUGACGUGACCAACAGAAUAAGCACCGGCGAACUUCGU